rnacentral:rRNA from 1 species
AUUGAACGCUGGCGGCAUGCCUUACACAUGCAAGUCGAACGGCAUCGCGGGAAAGCUUGCUUUCCUGGCGGCGAGUGGCGAACGGGUGAGUAACACAUCGGAACGUAGCGGCUGGGGGGGGAUAACCCGUCGAAAUACGGGCUAAUACCGCAUACGCGCUUCGGAGGAAAGCAUGGGACCUUUGGGCCUUGCGCUAGCCGAGCGGCCGAUGUCCGAUUAGCUAGUUGGUGGGGUAAAGGACGACCAAGGGGGCGAUCGGUAGCGGGUCUGAGAGGACGAGCCGCCACCCUGGGACUGAGACACGGCCCAGCUUCUUACGGGAGGCAGAAGUGGGGAAUCUUGGACAAUGGGGGCAACCCUGCUCCAGCAAUGCCGCGUGGGUGAAGAAGGCCUUCGGGUUGUAAAGCCCUUUCGGCAGGGAAGAAAUCGGCGGGGCGAAUAACCCUGCUGGAUGACGGUACCUGCAGAAGAAGCAACGGCUAACUACGUG